GACUUGUGUGUGCCUUGUGGCGCUCCGUACUCACCGGCUGCAGCGGGUCAGACGCACUGCCGUUCGCUCUAACCGUCAGCCACGGACAUGUCCGGAGCUCACAGUGAAGGAGAGAGUGUCUACUUCAGCAGUUAGCGUGUUUCUGCGGUAAUGAAGUGAAGCGCUGCUGAGUGUCUGUCAGAAAGAAAGCAGAAGAGCUCAGAAACAGGAGUAAACUCGUCCGUCCGUUUUGUCCUACAGCCGCCGCGCAGGCCCGCCUCCCUCACCGGCAGCGCAGCGUUAGCUCGUCAGCUACAUGCUUCUGCUGUUUUGACACGGUGUACGCUGUAAGGAUGAGGAAGGACGUGCGGAUAUUACUAGUCGGAGAACCUAAAGUGGGGAAGACGUCACUGAUCAUGUCCCUUGUCAGUGAAGAAUUCCCUGAUGAGGUCCCUCUCCGCGCUGAGGAAAUCACCAUUCCUGCUGAUGUCACCCCUGAGAGAGUGCCUACACACAUAGUGGACUACUCAGAAGCAGAGCAGUCGGAUGAACAGCUAUAUCAAGAAAUAUCUAAGGCAAACGUUAUAUGCAUAGUGUACUCAGUAAACAACAAAAAAUCCAUUGAGAAGGUGACGAGCCACUGGAUUCCCCUCAUAAACGACAGAACAGACAAGGACAGCAGAGUGCCGCUGAUUCUGGUGGGCAAUAAGUCAGAUCUGGUGGAGCACAGCAGCAUGGAGACUAUUCUGCCCAUCAUGAACCAAUUCUCAGAAAUCGAGACUUGUGUUGAGUGUUCAGCGAAAAACCUGAAGAAUAUCUCCGAGUUGUUCUACUAUGCCCAGAAAGCUGUUCUGCAUCCUACAGGGCCCCUGUAUUGCCCAGAGGAAAAGGAGAUGAAACCUUCUUGCAUCAAAGCACUUACUCGCAUCUUCAAAAUAUCAGACUUGGACAACGAUGGCAUUUUGAACGACAAUGAGCUCAAUUUCUUCCAAAGGACAUGCUUUAACAUGCCUUUGGCUCCUCAAGCCCUGGAGGACGUGAAAAAUGUUGUGCGGCGAAACAUGACGGAUGGCGUGAAGGACAACGGCCUCACUCUUAAAGGUUUCUUGUUCCUGCACACUCUGUUCAUCCAGAGAGGAAGGCACGAGACCACAUGGACUGUGCUUCGCAGGUUUGGAUAUGAUGAUGACCUGGAGCUGACCCAGGAAUACCUGUUUCCAUUGUUAAAAAUACCUCCAGACUGCACCACAGAGCUGAAUCACAAUGCUUACCUCUUCCUGCAAAGUGUCUUUGACAAGCAUGACAAGGACCGAGACUGUGCGCUGUCUCCUGAUGAGCUGAAGGAUCUUUUUAAAGUCUUCCCCUACAUGCCCUGGGGCCCUGAUGUCAACAAUACAGUGUGCACAAAUGAGCAGGGCUGGAUCACUUACCAGGGCUACCUGUCCCAGUGGACGCUAACAACAUACCUGGACGUGCAGCGCUGCUUGGAGUACCUGGGUUACCUUGGUUACUCUAUCAUUCAUGAGCAGGACUCACAGGCUGCUGCCGUGACAGUCACCAGGAACAAGCGCAUUGACCUGCAGAAGAAGCAGACCCAGCGCAAUGUGUUCCGCUGCAAUGUUCUGGGAGCACGAGGCAGUGGCAAAAGUGGCUUCCUGCAGGCCUUCUUGGGAAGGAACCUUGCUCGACAGCGGAGAAUUAGGGAAGACCACAAAUCCUACUACGCUAUCAGCACUGCGUAUGUCUACGGGCAGGAGAAGUACUUGCUUCUACAUGAGGUUCUCCCGGACGUUGAUUUCCUCUCAGAAGCUGAUCUGGCCUGUGACGUUGUCUGUCUGGUUUACGACAUCAGUAACCCCCGCUCCUUUGAGUACUGCGCAAAGGCCUAUAAGAAGUACUUUAUGGACAGCAAGACACCGUGUAUGAUUAUCGCUGCCAAGUCAGACCUGCACGAGGUCCGACAGCACUACAGCCUGUCUCCACUGGACUUCUGCAGGAGACACAAGCUGCACCCGCCCCAGCCGUUCACCUGCAACACGGCCGACGCACCCAGCAAAGACAUCUACACCAAACUCACCACCAUGGCCAUGUAUCCCCACGCCAAGCUCCGCUGCAUGUGUGCCUGCAACAGGUGCACCUUUUGCAUCUGUCAGAACCUGCUGAACUGUGAGCUCCUGCGCUCUGUCAGGACCAAACUCUACAGUGCUGUUCUGAACAGGUGUUCAUUCUCAUGUGUUUGGCUGGCCCUCUUUCUUUUUGCACUGCAUCUCUUUACCUCAUUCUAACACUUGCCAGCAUGUCUUAUAUCUCUGUUUCAGUAACUGUACUGUAAGACUAAUGCUUAGUUCAGGGGUUUCAGGCAGGGACUGUCUUGUCAUAAGCUGUUUUAUAUUAAGGUAUGAAGAGUACUUGGUGUGUGUGUGUGUGUGUGUAUGUUAGCAUGUCUGCAGUGUUGUAAUGGUUAACUGUACAACUUCUAACUCCUGGUAUUUCUAUUUCAUAGGUGUGGACAGCUGUAAAGAUGUUGUUUUUGCUGGUUUGGUGCAUCUGUGCAUUUGUUUGGUCUGAACUCUACUGUAGGUGGCAGUAUUUUUCAGAUUUAGCAGUUAACUGCCAUCAUAGUUCAUUUAAGGCUCGCAUAUCAAAGGAAUGAAAGUUGCUGGGGACCCUAGACAGGGCUUCUCUGAAGGUCUGGUCUGAUGUCUCCACACCAUUCUUUGUCAUUUGACAGUUUGACUCACUAUUAAUAGCAAGCUACUAAAAAUAAAACACACUAGGGAUGGGUGAUCCCACUGGUUUUCUUCUCAAUUGAGUACCAAGGCUAGUGUCCCCAAUCUCAAUACUGAUACUUUUAAAUAACUUUUAAGCACAUAAAAGGAAUUAAAAAUAUAUAUAUACAGUAGGGGUGUAACAAUGCAUCAUGACCUUAUGAUACUGCAGUGCAAAAUCUGACAGCGUGCAUCAUGAAGAUAUGAUCAAAUGCACUUGCAUUGUUAAAAAAAAAAGUUCAUGAACAGCCAGCCCAAUCGACAACCCGCAAGCUCGCACAUGCUUCCUCCAAAACUCAUGAAGCACUGCUAUAUUGUUUACAGCUAACACAAUGUCAUUGGACAGUUCAGCUUGGAGUAGAACACUAUCAGCUAGCAUUACGCUUAGUGAUAGGGGAGGACCAUCCUACUCACCUAUAGAGAGAGAGACCAUUUACAUUCUCUUGGACAGUCAAACUGUAUGAUAGGCCAAUGCUUAGAUGGUUGUGCCCCUCGAGAGCCCUGACGUAAUGGAAUUGGCACUUAGUGUUCUCCGCCAAGCGUGUUCAUCUGUUCAGUAACGUUAAUCUAGCAGCAGUUUGCUGCCUUUAUAUGUCUCUGAGGAAGCAUGGAUUAGCCUUCACCCAACCAGCUUGGUAACAUUAUAUGAUGGGGUAAACGUAAUUAGUGGAUGGAACUGGACAUGACUAAAGUUUUGCUUUCUGUCUGCUAUUUGUACUGCAUUUCUGUAAGUUGUGUAUGUGUAAAGAGAGAAGGGAGAAGGCGAACUGAAGAAUAUGUAGUUCCUAUCCUGUGAUCAUUUGCUGCUUUUACCGAUUCACUGAUCUUUUCCCACUUUUUCCUCAUCAACAGCACGUUUCAUUCCAUAGAAAGAACUUCGUUUUAAUUAAUGCUAAAAGAAAGCACUCAUCAUCUCAGAAGGAAUGUUAAGAUUGGACAAAUUCAUACUUCGGUGUCCACCCAUCCCUAACACACACCACUCUGACCAGACGUUAGGCUGAGCUCGUGGUCCAAAGAUUCACAAAAGUGGGCUUUAUUCGGUGCAAACAAACAUCUUAGAACAAAUUAUGGGUUCUCAUCGCACAGCGAACUUUGAUUUAUUGAUCAUCAGUUUGGCCUUUUCUUAGCUGCGGUGUGGUGUGUGUGUCUGUGUGUGUGAGGUGCAUGAACUGGGCAGCUGGUGUCACUGUGGGCUGUUUGGUUGUUGAAUUGGCGUCCCGUGUGCAUGUACACAAGGUUGGGGCCCCGGGUGGAUGAACUGGGCGCAUAUCUUUUGGCUGAUGAGGAGACCAGCCUCAUCCAUCAGGUGCACGCAGUCACCUUUGUAGAGGAUUCAAUCUACAUGGAGUCAUCUGUCGACCCCUUUGUGCCCAGGCACAUGACUCAGACAGAUCUGAAGAACUCUACCUUUUGGCUGAGAGCCAGCGUGGGAGCCACUGUGUUUGCAGUGUUGGGCUUCGCCAUGUACAAAGCUCUGCUCAAGC